GCCCCCCGGCUGGGCUGGGAGGAGCGUGAGGGGAGCCGCUGUUAGUGCGGGGACCGUUACUUUACGUGCCGCUUUGUAGCGGCCCGCUGUGAACUGAGAUCGCCUCUUGGCGUUGUGGCAGAGCAGGAAAGUGGCAGCAGGCUGUGGGGAGCCGAGCGCCGGGGCAGCAGAUGAGAAAUGAUUUUCAGAAGGAAUCUAUCCAGUGAUUGUGACCUACCACUGAGCUGCCUGAUGCUACUACCUCAACUCCGUCCUUCAUAAGAUUAAUCACUCUUCUUACUUCGCUGAACAGCAGCAGAAAAUAUUAUCAAGAUACGCCUUCCAACAACCUGUACCCACCCAAAGAACUUUCUGCUGCACUUCAAAGUGACUGCUUAACUCUAGGUCUCCUUGCAGAAAAAUAAUGGCUAAAGAGGUGACAAGAUCUAAUGCAGAAAGGCAUAACCCAGACAUGUGGAACCAGAGCAAGAGUAUUCUGAAUCAGGAAGAGAACAGAAGGCAUGUCAACACCAUACAGAGCACCAUGCACAGAUGCGGGUUUGGAUUGUGGAAGCAGAAUGGAAACACCAGUACAGUACUUCUUCCAGGCCAAUAACUCCUGCUGAGCACUGCUUUUCAGUAACAUUAACCAUUCUAACCAGAGUACAGAGCUAACUUGGUUCUGAAACUUAUUUGGCUACCACUAGCUUUCUCCUCUGCACAGUACGAUAGCACAUGGCAUAGGUACAUUCAAAAUGAUCUACAAUAAAAUAGAUUGAGCUCUUGGUUUCCCCUUUG